rnacentral:rRNA from 1 species
UACGAAGGGUGCAAACGUUGCUCGGAAUCAUUGGGCGUAAAGCGCACGUAGGCGGCUUGCCAAGUCGGACGUGAAAUCCCUCAGCUCAACUGAGGACGUGCAUCCGAAACUGGCGAGCUUGAGUGCUGAAGAGGAUCGCGGAAUUCCCGGUGUAGAGGUGAAAUUCGUAGAUAUCGGGAGGAACACCGGUGGCGAAGGCGGCCUUCUGGACGGAUACUGACGCUGAGACGCGAAAGCGUGGGGAGCAAACAGG